GGGUUGUGAGGUUAAGCGACUAAGCGUACACGGUGGAUGCCCUGGCAGUCAGAGGCGAUGAAGGGCGUGCUAAUCUGCGAUAAGCGCCGGUAAGGUGAUAUGAACCGUUAUAACCGGCGAUACCCGAAUGGGGAAACCCAGUGUGACUCGUCACACUAUCAUUAACUGAAUCCAUAGGUUAAUGAGGCGAACCGGGGGAACUGAAACAUCUAAGUACCCCGAGGAAAAGAAAUCAACCGAGAUUCCCCCAGUAGCGGCGAGCGAACGGGGAGGAGCCCAGAGCCUGAAUCAGCAUGUGUGUUAGUGGAAGCGUCUGGAAAGGCGCGCGAUACAGGGUGACAGCCCCGUACACAAAAGCGCAUGUGUUGUGAGCUCGAUGAGUAGGGCGGGACACGUGGUAUCCUGUCUGAAUAUGGGGGGACCAUCCUCCAAGGCUAAAUACUCCUGACUGACCGAUAGUGAACCAGUACCGUGAGGGAAAGGCGAAAAGAACCCCGGCGAGGGGAGUGAAAAAGAACCUGAAACCGUGUACGUACAAGCAGUGGGAGCCCCACCACUAAGCCAGUGGUGAACUCCACAUACGCAUCCUUUGCUGAGGAUACGGUUAACGGAGCGAAAGCGACGUUCAACCGCAAAAGAAGCAGAGGGGGCUUAGUGGUGGGGUGACUGCGUACCUUUUGUAUAAUGGGUCAGCGACUUAUAUUCUGUAGCAAGGUUAACCGUAUAGGGGAGCCGUAGGGAAACCGAGUCUUAACCGGGCGUUAAGUUGCAGGGUAUAGACCCGAAACCCGGUGAUCUAGCCAUGGGCAGGUUGAAGGUUGGGUAACACUAACUGGAGGACCGAACCGACUAAUGUUGAAAAAUUAGCGGAUGACCUGUGGCUGGGGGUGAAAGGCCAAUCAAACCGGGAGAUAGCUGGUUCUCCCCGAAAGCUAUUUAGGUAGCGCCUCGUGAAUUCAUCUCCGGGGGUAGAGCACUGUUUCGGCUAGGGGGCCAUCCCGGCUUACCAACCCGAUGCAAACUGCGAAUACCGGAGAAUGUUAUCACGGGAGACACACGGCGGGUGCUAACGUCCGUCGUGAAGAGGGAAACAACCCAGACCGCCAGCUAAGGUCCCAAAGUCAUGGUUAAGUGGGAAACGAUGUGGGAAGGCCCAGACAGCCAGGAUGUUGGCUUAGAAGCAGCCAUCAUUUAAAGAAAGCGUAAUAGCUCACUGGUCGAGUCGGCCUGCGCGGAAGAUGUAACGGGGCUAAACCAUGCACCGAAGCUGCGGCAGCGACACUCAGGUGUUGUUGGGUAGGGGAGCGUUCUGUAAGCCUGUGAAGGUGUGUCGUGAGGCAUGCUGGAGGUAUCAGAAGUGCGAAUGCUGACAUAAGUAACGAUAAAGCGGGUGAAAAGCCCGCUCGCCGGAAGACCAAGGGUUCCUGUCCAACGUUAAUCGGGGCAGGGUGAGUCGACCCCUAAGGCGAGGCCGAAAGGCGUAGUCGAUGGGAAACGGGUUAAUAUUCCCGUACUUGGUGUUACUGCGAAGGGGGGACGGAGAAGGCUAUGUUGGCCGGGCGACGGUUGUCCCGGUUUAAGCGUGUAGGUGUGUGUUCCAGGUAAAUCCGGUUCACUUUAACACUGAGGCGUGAUGACGAGGCACUACGGUGCUGAAGCAACAAAUGCCCUGCUUCCAGGAAAAGCCUCUAAGCAUCAGGUAACAUCAAAUCGUACCCCAAACCGACACAGGUGGUCAGGUAGAGAAUACCAAGGCGCUUGAGAGAACUCGGGUGAAGGAACUAGGCAAAAUGGUGCCGUAACUUCGGGAGAAGGCACGCUGACACGUAGGUGAAGUGAUUUACUCAUGGAGCUGAAGUCAGUCGAAGAUACCAGCUGGCUGCAACUGUUUAUUAAAAACACAGCACUGUGCAAACACGAAAGUGGACGUAUACGGUGUGACGCCUGCCCGGUGCCGGAAGGUUAAUUGAUGGGGUCAGCGCAAGCGAAGCUCCUGAUCGAAGCCCCGGUAAACGGCGGCCGUAACUAUAACGGUCCUAAGGUAGCGAAAUUCCUUGUCGGGUAAGUUCCGACCUGCACGAAUGGCGUAAUGAUGGCCAGGCUGUCUCCACCCGAGACUCAGUGAAAUUGAACUCGCUGUGAAGAUGCAGUGUACCCGCGGCAAGACGGAAAGACCCCGUGAACCUUUACUAUAGCUUGACACUGAACAUUGAGCCUUGAUGUGUAGGAUAGGUGGGAGGCUUUGAAGCGUGGACGCCAGUCUGCGUGGAGCCGACCUUGAAAUACCACCCUUUAAUGUUUGAUGUUCUAACGUGGACCCGUUACCCGGGUUGCGGACAGUGUCUGGUGGGUAGUUUGACUGGGGCGGUCUCCUCCUAAAGAGUAACGGAGGAGCACGAAGGUUGGCUAAUCCUGGUCGGACAUCAGGAGGUUAGUGCAAUGGCAUAAGCCAGCUUGACUGCGAGCGUGACGGCGCGAGCAGGUGCGAAAGCAGGUCAUAGUGAUCCGGUGGUUCUGAAUGGAAGGGCCAUCGCUCAACGGAUAAAAGGUACUCCGGGGAUAACAGGCUGAUACCGCCCAAGAGUUCAUAUCGACGGCGGUGUUUGGCACCUCGAUGUCGGCUCAUCACAUCCUGGGGCUGAAGUAGGUCCCAAGGGUAUGGCUGUUCGCCAUUUAAAGUGGUACGCGAGCUGGGUUUAGAACGUCGUGAGACAGUUCGGUCCCUAUCUGCCGUGGGCGCUGGAGAACUGAGGGGGGCUGCUCCUAGUACGAGAGGACCGGAGUGGACGCAUCACUGGUGUUCGGGUUGUCAUGCCAAUGGCACUGCCCGGUAGCUAAAUGCGGAAGAGAUAAGUGCUGAAAGCAUCUAAGCACGAAACUUGCCCCGAGAUGAGUUCUCCCUGAGACUUAGAGUCUCCUGAAGGAACGUUGAAGACGACGACGUUGAUAGGCCGGGUGUGUAAGCGCAGCGAUGCGUUGAGCUAACCGGUACUAAUGAACCGUGAGGCUUAACCUUACAACGCCGAAG
rnacentral:rRNA from 2 species